CGGUACAGGGUGAUAGUCCCGUACACCAAAAUGCACAGGCUGUGAACUCGAAGAGUAGGGCGGGACACGUGGUAUCCUGUCUGAAUAUGGGGGGACCAUCCUCCAAGGCUAAAUACUCCUGACUGACCGAUAGUGAACCAGUACCGUGAGGGAAAGGCGAAAAGAACCCCGGCGAGGGGAGUGAAAAAGAACCUGAAACCGUGUACGUACAAGCAGUGGGAGCACCUUCGGGUGUGACUGCGUACCUUUUGUAUAAUGGGUCAGCGACUUAUAUUCUGUAGCAAGGUUAACCGUAUAGGGGAGCCGCAGGGAAACCGAGUCUUAACUGGGCGUUAAGUUGCAGGGUAUAGACCCGAAACCCGGUGAUCUAGCCAUGGGCAGGUUGAAGGUUGGGUAACACUAACUGGAGGACCGAACCGACUAAUGUUGAAAAAUUAGCGGAUGACUUGUGGCUGGGGGUGAAAGGCCAAUCAAACCGGGAGAUAGCUGGUUCUCCCCGAAAGCUAUUUAGGUAGCGCCUCGUGAACUCAUCUUCGGGGGUAGAGCACUGUUUCGGCUAGGGGGUCAUCCCGACUUACCAACCCGAUGCAAACUACGAAUACCGAAGAAUGUUAUCACGGGAGACA
rnacentral:rRNA from 1 species